rnacentral:tRNA from 1 species
UAUAAAUAAAUGUAUGAUGCAUAAUAAAUUUUGAGUUUAUUUGGCUUAGUUUAAUUCUAGGAUUUAUAA